UACCAUCUCUUAUAUUGUUCUAAGUGAAAGGCAGAACUUUCAUUUGAGCUCAGCCAUUGGAUCAGUUCAUGCAGUUGGUCUGAUUUAUCUUCUGCUAGCUCAGCUGCGUACUAACCUUUCAAUCGCAAACAAAAUGUGCUUAGAGUAAGUCUAAAGAUUACUCCAUAAAAGAAUAAUAUGUGGUUGUAAAUUUACAGCAGGUGAAGAAAGUUACGCCUUAGUAAUGCUGUGGAAGUGAUAGAGCAGUAAGUAGUGUGAAUCAAAACUCAUAGGUUAGUUUCUGGAUUUCUCUGCUACUAAAAAUUGUCCAAAGACAUAUUGAAGGCUGCACACAAUAAUAUUAGUGUGGGAGUCCAUUCAUCACAUGGUCAUUAGAUUGAGUAUGAUUCAUAUUGCUGCUAUCCCCAAGUGCUGUAGUUGCCUGGUGAGUUUAAAAAUACUGAGCAAAUUACUCUUUUGAUUUGCUGUCUUGGUGAAGGAUUCGAGAUAUUGCUACGUACAUUUUAAGCACCAUCUAAAUAUGUAUCAUGUUUCCCUCUCACACAUUUGAUCUCCCUGGACUAAUGACAGUGCAGUAUGCUGCAUGCUCCCUUUCUCGUGCUGACGUUUAACUGGGGGUUUGUGAAGACCUCUCUCUCUUCUGUACUUCCUUAAAGCGUUUCCAGAUGACUUUGCUGUUACGUAGCACCAUAGCCUCGUGGUAUGACUUUAUCCCAGAGGUCAGAGGAGUAAGCUUGACUGAUAAGCCUUUUAAGCUUGAAAGCACUUUCCUCCCUGCUGGGAAGCCACAUGAUUACAUUUGCGAGAAAGAUUUUUUGGCCUUGAGGAGUUGUGUGUUUGAGAAUCAUGGCGUUGGAGUUCACUAGUGGACCGGGCAUGCCUCCUCCCCUGCAAGCCCUAUGGAGGUGUGUGUGACCAGGUUUUCUUCACCAGUGGAGGCACAUGUUGCAACUACACCCAGCAUGAGUCAGAGCUCCUGUUCUUGCAUCCUUAUCAAAAGAUUCCUUGUGUUGACCUCUACUGCUCAGGAACACAGAAAGUUAAACAGGGAUGGCCCAGCCAUUUUAGUGCUUCAGUGGCAGUCGGUGCUGCUGGUCAGAAAAACAACGCAUGAAGCCAGUCAGAUUAAUUUUAUUUACCUGAAGUAGAAAAGUUCUUUGUGGGACAAAAAGAGAAAUCAGAAGCUCUUGGCUGGUACCAUAAAGGAAAAUCUUAUUGAUUCAUCAUAUUCUCC